UGCAAGCACUCUGGAUUAGGUGGCGGGUUGGUUGUAUUUUUCUUUAAUUUUAUUGCGGUGGGUUUUUCUCGUUUGCACGGGAAAACUCGGCAGCGUCUCCAGGAUGCUGAUCCAUGGGGGAGAAGUGAGGAAGUGGGGAGCCAGAGGCACUUCCCAGUCCAAGAAGGAGAAAGAGUCUCCGGGUGUGUGAUGACUCCACCCAAGUCUCAAAGUGGGGGCUCCAACUGCUGGCUUUCAGUGCCCUCCUUACAAAACAAAAGCAAAAACCCCGACGUUCGGCAGCAGCCACAGCCGCAGUGGUGUCACAGCUAGAAACACCCCAGUCCGAGGAAUGACAGAGUUGGCCGAAAGGUGGCUGGUGUAGAAAAAGGAGAGGCGUUUUGUUGUUUUGCGUGUAUGACAAAAGCAUUUCCUCCUCAGAGGUCGGACACGCUUUAGUAGCUCGUUCACUCGCUGUCCACCCACCGGCUGGCCCCCAUCUGCCAACAGUGACCCGCGCCCGCCUGCCGCCGGGGCACCAAGUGAAAGAAACGGGGGUCGGGGCGCGAUCCUCCAACAGGCAGUAUCAGUCCCUCUGAGCAGCACCUUUUCGCUCUUCCUGGGAAUUUCAUCCUGGCCUCCCCCCACCAACCUCAUAUAUUUUUUUGUUUGGAAGAUAAACUGAGUUAAUUACAUCAUUUAAAUUAAUGCGGUUUUACCGCUUGCUUACAACUACUCCCUUCUUUCAGUUUCUAAUACGAAAUAGUUACACACUGAAACUUUAUUUAGACAUCAGGCCAGAGGAAGGAGAGCCAAAGAAAGUAUGCUUACUUGGAAUUAAGAUCCUAUGAAUCCAAUGGCAUUUAUUUCCAGGCAAGUGGAUCAAAUAUUGGAGUUUUAAAGUUUCAAAGCAGGGGCAUAGCAAGGUUGAAGCGGGCCCUGGGAUAAACAGUGAAGAUGAGCCCCUGUCCCCUGUGUUCAGAGAGGCGUGAGGGGGAAAGUAAAGAGCAAGCUGUCACCCAGCAGGUGAGCCUUCCUCCCUCAGGCGCCCAGGGACAUUUGUCUACCCACCCACUCUUGUUCAGUUCUGGUUAUGUCUCUGUUUCAAAUCUACUCAUAUAUUUGCUUUGCUCUCAUCGAUAUCAGUGCCUAUUCUCUCAAGUCUACCUAUGUGUCAUAUCCAGGAUUAAUGUCUUCCUGGGCUUUUGCUGUUGAACCCCAAACAAAGAUAUAAAUGCUAUCAUAAUGUCAGCAUCCUUACUGGGAAGGUAACUGAUCUCAGAGCAAUAUUUAAGGAAUCCAAGCAAAAGAAUCAAAUUACAGAUUUGUCUGCCUAACAUCUGCCCUAGUAAAAUUUGUAGAAAGCAUUAUUGAAACGAGAAUUAUUAAACAGACAGAAGAACAAGCCUUGCUGAAGAAAAAUCAGCAUAUAUUUUGCAAAGAGAAUUUUGCCUCAAACGUUUAGAAUUCUUUAAGUGUUUCACCAAAUAUGCAGAUAGCAAUGAUCCAUUGGACCAUGGGUUCCCAACCUGUGGUACUCCAGAUACUGCUGAACUAUAACUCCCAUCAUUCCCAGAGACAAUUUAUUGUGGCUGGGGGGUCGCAGGAGUUGUAGUUCAGCAACAUCUGGCGGUCCACAGGUUGGGAACUUCUGCACUAAACUUUAUAUACUUGGAAUUUCAAAAAAGUUUGAUGAAGUCCAACACCAUUUUUAAAAGGGGGUGGGGGCAACUUUAAGCCUUUCCUCUUCUGACCAUUUUUGCUGCUGAAGGCUCCCUUCCAUCAGCUGUCCUUACAGUCAGGAAAUGCUGGAGAGACUUGAAACACUCCCUAUCUUUCACCUUUCCUUAUAGGAAUAUGCACAAAUCGAUUUUUGCAAUUUGAGUUCAGAAUGAAUCAGUCUGAUUUGAUCCAAGCUUGAAUCUGCUGUCUCAAAUCUGGGGCCGAUUCAAACUUGAUUUGAUGUCACACAGUGCAUUGUUGGAUAUCCAGAGGCUGAGACAACACAUCCUGGCCUCCAGAGCUAUGGGCUGCGCCCUGCGGCGCAGAACAUCUGGGAGUAUAGUCCACACAUCCAGCAACAGUUCAGUGAUCGUCUGGGAGGGAAAUGAGUUAGGAACAGGAACAGCCUUCCCCGUGCCCUCCUGGUCAUCUGAAUGGCUCCAGCGUCUUAUAAGUCAUACCUUGAUUAGUUCACAUGUCCCAGCAUGCCACACUUUCACCUGACCCUUGUCAUCAGCGCUCACAAUGUGAGUGCCAUUCAUUUUAGCAGCCCAAACAGUUCCUUUGUGCUUCAAAGUCUUCAAGCAUUUCCCACUUUCUAUAUCCCACACUGUCAGGAACAGAAAAAACAAAUGCAGUUAGUUAGUUAAAGGUCUCUAAACCAGAAAAGGAUACACACAGCACAUUUAGAAAGGACUGUUGUUCUUUAGCUGUUUUUAACCAAAAUUUAAUUUUAUUCUUCCUCUUUGCAUUUGUAAUCAAAGGUGCACCUAGGUAAGUUUGGAGCCUGGGCCUUUGGAGCCCCCCGCCCCUGCAAAUUAAGCAUCAUCAUGCUCAGCUGGGCAACCACACCACCCAGGACAGACUAAAGAAGAUUUGGGGGCCCCCAGGGGCUGUGGAGACCCUGGACUUCAGCCCUGAAGUCCAGGGGUAAAAGCACCUCUGUUUGUAAUCUAUGCUUUGCUGAGUAUAGUCUCUCAGAAGUGUACAUGGAUGUGUAAGUGUAGGAAUAUAAUCUAAACAUAAAAAUAACUGGUUGCAAGAUCCUUACAUCCAAGGAGGAGGGCAAAUUGUUUGAGAUUAUAUAGUCCCUUUUUAGAGAACAUGGUGGACAUAUUAGUAACUUCAUUUAUUACAUCAUCAUUUUUCAGCCCUUGAAUUCCAUUGCCCUAUAAUUUGAUUACUAUAAUUCUAUGGAUUUAACCAAAGGUUGUUGAUUUUCCUCUAAUCCCCUAGAAGAAAUAAAGUUUCUACUUGCUCACUUUUCACCAUGCAGUCCUUGGCUCCAGACACAAAUUUGUUCUUGUGCAAAUGCAAGCAGUUGAUGGUCCCUGAGUGGCCAUUAAAAAUUUUGAUACAUACCCCAGUGAUGAUAUUCCACAUCCUAAAGAACACAGAUCAAGAGGGUGAGAAGAAAGGAACACACACAUACUGAAUUGUUCAUUGUUGACAUUCAAGGCAUAUCCACACAGACGUUCCAAAUGUUACUAAUUUGUACUACUGUGAAACCAGCAGAAUGGGAAAUAAUACUUGGAAGAAAUAUGUUUUGCAUAGAAAUCCCCCGUAUGGAUUGUUUUGGUCAUAUCAUGCCAGGGCUUCGUUAACUGCACUGGCUCUAGUGCGUUUUCAGGCCCAAUUCAAAGUGCUGGCUUUAACCUUUAAAGCCCUAAAUGGCUUGCAACCAGGUUACCUGAGAGAGUGCCUUGACCCAUAUGUCCUGACUCAGACGUUAAGAUCUUCUUUGGAGGCCCUAGUCCAAGUGCCCCUGCCAAAUGAGGUGAGGUGGGUGGCUACUAGGGAGAAGGCCCUUUUGGUUGUGGCACCCUGUUUAUGGAAUAGCCUCCCCAGUGAGGCUCACCUGGCAUUGUCACUUUGUUCUUUUAGAUGCCAGGUUGCCAGGUGAAGACCUUUCUGUUCACUCAGGCUUUUUAAAAAAAUGAUUUUUAAAACUGAGUUUUUAAAAACAAUAUUUAAAAUUUUUGUUUUGUAUUUUGUAAUUUUUUUGUUUAUGUCAUGAUUUGUUAGUUGUAUUUUAUGUGUUUUAUUGGAUGUUUCUUAAUGUUGUGUUAUGAGUCACCCAGAGAACAAUUUGUUAUGCCUAACAAAGUUGGCUAACAAAGUUUUUGUUGUUGUUAUUGUUUGGUUUGUUUUAUUACAUUGCUCAACACCAGAAUUUCCCUUGUCUACCAUGUAGAAGGAAAUGGUACAAUAAUUAUGUGGCAUGUGCAGAUCUGAUGUGUUAAAUCCAUGGACAUAGCUAGAAUUAAAUAGGGGGUGGCACAAAUGUCCCUGGGCCGCAGAGGAAGAGGGGCACACCAGCUGAGUGACAGCUUGCUCUUUGAUCUCCCCUCCCCCCUCUCCAAAGGAGGAGGCAGGGAGAUGGGAGACAGGCAAGGGCCCAUCUUUGCUUUUUGUCCCAAGGCCAACCUCAUUAUGCCCCUGGUUGAAUCAGCAGAUCAGAGACUCAAAAUUACCUUAAUCUGCACAGCCAUGUUUCAACAUCCCAUCAUCUAUAUCUCCUUGCCCAAUAAAGCCUACCUGUGGUUACUACUUUUUGCAACUUUUUAGUUAUAUAUUGAAUGUUCAAGAUUUUAGCCUUUAACAGUGAGGUUUUGUGGAGUACAAUAUGACAGAUAGCAUUAAGGUUUAAACUGUGCUUAUGAGAUAUCAAGAAACACUGUUCAAAAGCCUGCAUAAUUAAAAAACAAAAACAAACAAAGAAUGUAUUUAAACUGGUCCACAAACAAUACAUUAGUGGUUUAUUAGUAAUCUAGAUGCCCUUCUCAGAAACUCUGUUCUCAGUACCAUCCUUUUAUUUUAUUUUUUAAAAUAAAAAAUAGAUUAAGUAUACAAUUUUUAGAAAUAUGCAAAUUAUAAAUAAAAAUUUCAUUUGAAAUUAUUUUGAAAAUACUCUAUUGCUAUACCAAAGCUAGACUGUGAGGAGCUUUGGAAGCCACAGUGGUUCCAAAUCAAAUUGGCACAAUUCAACCUGAACUAAAUCACUGUAAAGUUCAGGUGGAAUUGGAGCCAAACUGAAGCUAUAGCCAGCCCAAUUAAUUUGGAAUAGUUUGGCCUCUAAAGCUUUCCCCUCUUACUCUCCCAUUCUUUCCCCUGUAGUUACCUUACCAGGUUGGCAAGGCACUUUUUCAUGGCAGAGAAUGAGUAGCUGUGAUUCAUAUGGUUGCUUUUUCAAAAGUCCUGAAAAUAAAUGUGUUCAUUUCUUUGAUUACUUGAUUGAUUAAGUGCUGUGAAGUUGGUGUCGACUCUUAGUGACCACAUAGAUAGAUUAUCUCCAAGACGAUCUGUCUUCAACUUGGCCUUUAAGGUCCCUCAGUGGUACAUUCAUUGCUGUCAUAAUCGAGUCCAUCCACCUUGCUGCUGGUCGUCCUCUUCGCUUUCCUUCAACUUUUCCCAUCAUUAUGGACUUCUCAAGUGAGCUGGAUCUUCGCAUGUGUCCAAAGUAUGAUAGUUUGAGCCUGGUCAUUUAUGCCUCAAGUGGAAAUUCUGGAUUGAUUUGUUCUAUGAUCCAUUUGUUUGUUUUCCUGGCUGUUCAUAGUAUCCUCAAAAGUCUUCUCCAGCACCAAAGUUCAAAAGCGUCUAUGCUUUUUCUAUCUUGCUUCUUCAAAGUCCAGCUUUCGCAUCCAUAGAGUGUCACGAGAAAAAUGAUUGUCCGAACGAUUCUAAUCUUUGUAGGUAUAGACACGUCAUGGCAUCGAAAUCUCCUUCCCAAGGCCUUCAUUGCUACCCUACCAAGUGCUAGUCUGCGGCGUAUUUCUUGACUGCUGGAUCCUUUACUGUUGAUGGUUGAUCCUAAAAGGCAGAAGCUAUCCACCACUCCAAUGUCUUCAUUGUCAAUUCUGAGCCUGGUUGCUGUACCCAUUGUCAUUAGUUUAGUCUUCUUUACAUUUAGUUGUAGUCCCAUUUUUUCACUGUGCUCCUUGACUUUCAUUACUAGAGCUUGCAGAUCAUCCGCAUUCUCAGCUAUCAGAGUAGUGUCAUCCGAGUAGCGCAGGUUAUUGAUGUUUCUUCCUCUAACUUUAAAACCACGGUCAUCUUCUUCCAAUCUAGCUUCUCUCAGUAUAUGUUCAGCAUAUACUUGAAAUAAUUGAAAAAAUAAGAAGAAAGUAUACAGCCUUGCCUUACCCCUUACGUUCCACAUUCCCAUUAUAAUUCUGUAUUUGCAGCUUCAGAUUUUCUUUUACGCAUGGCAACAUCAGCUGCUAGAUAUCCAAAAGACUUUAAUCUAAUUGUGUCAUAAAUUCCAUCAGUACUCUGGGAGAUCCUCAGCUCUUCCUCAGUAGCAUGUUGAGUACCAUCCGACCUGAGGGGCCCAUCAUCCAGCACGACAUCGACAAUCAUUCUAUUUUGUCUAUACAUGUGGUUUUCUUGGUAAAAUACAGGAGUGGUUUACCAUUGCUUUCUCCCACGCAGUAUGAAAUGAUGCCUUUGUCGUUGUCACUGAAGUGAUCUUCUGCCUCCAGCACCUUCUUAUAUCGAUGUCUGCUUGCUUUAGCUGGGCAGCUGGGAUGACCUGCAUGCUUCGGGUGACCCUAGAGCAGGGCUUCUCAGCCUCUGGAUCCCCAGAUGUAAUUAGACUUCAACUCCCAUAAUUCCCAACCAAAGGCCACUGGGGCUGGGGAUUAUGGGAGCUGAAGUCCAAUAACAUCUGGGGACCCACACGUUGAGAAGCCCUGCCCUAGUGGGAUUAUACCUCCCAGUGUACUUUUCUCAUCCCUCCCAAGAACACCCUGCUCCCGCCAUUAUGAGGCAGAAUAGCAGGACGUGUGUGUGUGUGUGAUCAAUUAAUAUAAUAUAGUUACUCCUGAUCUUUCAUAUUACUUCACUUACUUUCUGGAUCAGGAUUAUUCCAUUUUUAAAAAAAGGGUUUAUCAAUCUGAGAUACAGCAAACCAGAUUGUUAUAGCGGCUAUAGCACAUCAUAUUAUAUUCAGUGCUGAGAAAAGAAAACCACAAAAUCAAAACUUAGGAACAUAGGAAGCUGCCAUAUAUUGAUUCAGAACAUAGGUCCAUAUAGCUCAGUAUUGUCUACACAGACUGGCAGUGGCUUCUCCAAGGUUCCAAGCAGGAGUCUAUCUCAGCCCUAUCAUGGAGAUGCCAGGGAAGGAACUUGGAACCCAGAUCCUCUUCCCAGAGCGGCUCCAUCCCCUGAGGGGAAUUUCUUACAGUGCUCACACUUCUAAUCUCCCUUUCAUAUGCAUCCAGGGCAGACCCUGCUUAGCUAAGGGGACAAGUCAUGCUUGCUACAAGACCAGCCAACCUAGCAGCAAGAAGAUCACAAGCCAAUCAGAAGCCAGUGCCAAAAUCAAGCCCACCAAAUUGGCACUUGGAAUGCCCAGAAUGCUCCAACUUGUAACACGGUCAUUCCAUUCUGAGCCUUUCAUUUGAAGUGUGUCCUGUUUUGAGCUCCGAACCCUUGAAACAGCCCAUUUCAAGUCAAAACAUUCCAAACUCAGAACAUUCUGCACAUCCCUAGUAUUAUUCUGUAAACUCAUUACUGAGUCAAUUUCUUUUAUGCAGAGAACAUACUUCAACAGAGUUUUGAAAUAUAAUUGCUCAAAUUCUCACCAUUAAGAGGAAACUUUCCAUGAGUCCUGUUCUGCUACAAAUUGUAAGUGGGUUGUGUAAAUUUAUAUCUAGGAGUGCUACAACUCUUUCUUUGAAUGACCUAAUCAAAGUACUUCUAACUAUUCUCAGGUGUUUAUCUGACCUGAUGAAUUUCAAAGCUAACUUAUCCCAUUCCCCAGGUUUGAUUGGGGAGAUAAUAAAGUUAAUAAAGUGGCAAAUUUGAAAAAGAAAUCCUAGGUUUUGUAAGAAAUACAUUUUGAUUAGAACCAUUCUACCCAUCCAAAAUAUUUUAUAGGUUUCCAUUAAUAAUUCUGCCUUUUAAGUCCUGCUCAACCUCCCCAAAGUUAAAUAUAUGUUCGAGAUCAGGCUCCCAAACUUUAAAAAAUGGGAUUCACCAAUAGGUUUUUGCCUUCAAGGUUUAAGGUUCACUUGCCAGUCUCAGUCACAGCUACAAAAGUGAAUCUCUCUGUGCUGCCCUGUCCCCAAGGCACUCUAGCAACACUCUGGGAUUCACCCAUCAAGCCUCCAAUUUUUCUACAGGUAAUUUCAAGUUUAACUCACUUCUUAGAAGCACAUGCCACACAGCCCACUCCAGCUAAUUUUAGAUUCAAGGAGCAAAGUUAAGUAUGCUUUUAUUCCAUGAAAAUUGAGCAUUUAAGUGACAUUGAUUUCAGUGAUCUGGGACUUUCUCAGUACUAUGGCCCUUUGGAUAGUGUAUCCAAAUGCAGUGUACAGAUGUUGGUACCAGCUGAGCUCACCUGAUGCUGAGAUCAUAGCUGCCACUCAGAAUAAAUCCUUUCUGUUCAUUGAGCCAAAUGGCUCGGAUGCUACCAGCAUGGCCACGAAUGAGAGGAAGGACUUCUUUUUGCUCACUCAGAUGCAGAAGAUGGAUUUUUCGGUCUGCAGAACCAACAGCCAACAACUUUCCACCACUGUAAUGUAUCACCCUGUUUUGAUCCAUACUGAGAAAGGAAGGAAGGAGAAGCUGAAGGCAGAAUCUUUUAAAGUUUGAUAUGUUUAUAUUCCACUUUCAUUUCAUGAGGCAAUUCAAAGCAGCCUACAUGGAAUUCUCAGGGGAUGUUCCAUCCAGGCACUGAGCAGAUCAGGGGCAGCAUCAGCAUGUUGGCCAGAUUGGACACUGGUCAAAAGAUCACACCCAUCGGGUGGGCCUACCCAUCUGACCCCUGAAGUUAUAGGUCCUGCUGGGAGUAGUGGUUGUACUACAGCCAACAGACAGGCACCACCACUGCUGCCUUUGCCUGGCACCCCUCAGAGGCCCCUACAUCAUUUUGGGGCCUCUAGAACAUGCUUCUAUUGGCCAGUGGGGAGGUUAGGAGAAAGAGUUGCCAUCUGAGUCUCUUUGCCAAGGGCCUUGCAUGGCAACUCCCUCUUAUCUCAUCCUCCAUAGUCCCCACUGGCCAAUGAGAGGAUGGGGAAUGGACUCAGUAGUGACUCUUCUUCUUCCUUCUAUCCUAGGGUGGGAAUGAGAGGAGCUGCUACCAUUGAUUAUACUAUCACCAACUCCUCUCUCCAUUCUCCAAUAAGCUGGAGAGGUGAGAAGGCCCAUGUGCCAAGAGGACCAAGUGCACGGUUUUGCCAUCCUCCUCUCCAGCAGCCUGGCAUCCGAGUUGGACCACACCCAGACCUGCUUAGCCUCAGCACAUCACUGCAUCACAUGUCUUCAGACCAGUGUUCCCUCUAACAGAGAUUCUCAGAUGUUGUUGACAACAACUCCCAUAAUCCCAAGCCAAAGGCCAUUGCAGCUGGGGAUGCUGGGAGUUGUAGUGAACAACAUCUGAGAAGGAAUCCCUGUUAGAGGGAACACUGCUUCAGAUUAUGGCCUUGGGACCAGUCCUACUAGUUGGGAGCAGGAUCAAGAGGAAGAGCUGCAACUGCAGCAACACCAUAGCAGGGCUACAAUACUUGAUCCCUGCAGACAUUUUAUUUUCUUCCACUCUCCCAGGUUUCAGCUGUAUCAAGGGUGCUGAUGGACCCACAGAUGAAUGAGCAAUAUGGAACCCCUUCCCUAGCAGAUAAAAAUGGUCUCUUUCUAGUCUAAAGUGCUUCACUCCACAAGAAAAAUCCCAAGAAGUCAAGCCACAGAUGGAUGGGAGAGAGAAAAAGAGGGCGUUUGUAUUUAAUAGGUUGAUGGUGUCUGUCAGCUGGCCGUGAUAAGCUUUGUGCAUGUAUUCAAUCUCCUUAAAGCAGAAUGAAGAGCAAUGAUGAUAAAAGAGAGAGACACAUAGAGAAGCAGAUGGUUUCCUACUUCAGCUGGCAGAAGUGAGGCUUCAUCCCCACCCCACUACAGAAAUUCAUCAGGAGCCUACUCUAGUGGAGAGCCAGCAUGCAGUAUGUAUUGGGACUAGACACCCACACAUGCAACCUUGAAUUAUUAUUCCUUUAUAUGGCAAUGAAAAGAACAUAGCUUGAGGCUGCCACAGCUCCCAACUCCCGGGAGACAUGUUUUCCAUCUUUGAGGUGUCCACAAAGUCAAAGCAGUCAAUGGAAAAUAACUGAACACAGCCUAAAGGAGUGCUGGACUAGGACCGGGGAGACUUGAGUUCAAAUCCCCAUUCAGGCAUGAUACUUGCUGGGUGACUCUGGGCCAGUCACUUCUCUCUCAGCCUAACCUACUUCACAGGGUUGUUGUGAGGAGAAACAUAAGUAUGUAGUACACUGCUCUGGGCUCCUUGGAGGAAGAGUGGGAUAUAAAAUGUAAAAAAAUUAAAAGAAAGAAAGAAAGAAAGAAAGAAAGAAAGAAAGAAAGAAAGAAAGAAAGAAAGAAAGAAAGAAAGAAAGAAAGACUUGUUAACUACCAAGAGAUGAAAGUUUGGGGUGGUGUACACAUUUGACAAAUAAAUAAAUAAAUAACUGUCCCACCAUGGGAAUUCCAGAAAUGCAUAAUACCCACAAUGCACCUGUAUAAUACCCACAAUGCACCUGUAUGUGUUGCUUGCUUUGUCUUCUGCUUAGGAUGAUGUCACCAUCUUUAGAAAUCUGAGGGAUAGCAACCUUAACUGUUCUGGCAUAGUUGGCCAUUGCUCGUUUAGGGCAUGACCCCUGCAACAGAUAAGAGGCACCAUUAGGAGGCACCACUGUAAGAAACUGCCCAUUAAAUAAAGGUGUCUGAACUAAAGAAGUAGAUCAGUGACCAUAAGCAGUUCCAAAAAUCAUAAUACUUAACAGCUGGCCACCAGUUUCAUGGGAUGACUCCUGAUUCUAGUGUUGUGAGAGAGGAAGAAAAAUUUCUCUGUCCACUUUCUCUACUCCAUGCAUAAUUUCAUAUACCACUAUCAUGUCUCCCCGUAGUUGCCUCUUUUCCAAACUAAGACGCCCCAGGUGUUGUAGCCUUGCCUCAUAAGGAAGGUGCUCCAGACCCCUGAUCAUCUUGGUUGCCCUCUUCUGCACCCUUUCCAGUUCUACAGUGCAAGCAAGUGCUCCCUUAACUUGGGCUCCAGGAUCAUGUGUUCACUGGGGCUGUGUUCAGCCCGAGCGAACACAUAGAUGGGCACCUAGGGCGUUUGUCUCCUGGAGGAAUCCCCCAAUUCACCGUGCACGUUGUGCAGUGCAUUGUGGGAUAUUCAGAGGCUGGGACACAUCAUCCUGGCCUCUGGAGCUCUGUGCUGCAUGGGGCAGGGUGGAUUGUCUGGGAGCAUGGUCUGCACACCCAGCAACACUCAAUCGUUCGUCUGGAGGGGAAGGUGAGUUGGCCCAGCCUUCCCCACCCAGCCGGUUGUGUGAAUAGCCCCACAGUAUGUCAGGCAGCCCUUUGCUAGAGAAGAACAACAACAUCCAAAAGUGACAAAGAAACACUCUGGGCCUGAGAAGUAAUGGAAGUUCACCUGGAGGUUUUUCACACAUGGCUGUAUGUCUCGGGGUAUCUGAAGAGCAAAUCUGCUUCGCAGCAGAUUCGAUGCAUUUUAAUUCAAGGGAUUAGAUGGACCAUUUGCAUAGCUAUCAGCACCUUCAUCAACACCUUCGGAGAAAGCAGAAACCCUGGAGUUUUUUUCAAAAGCUUCUGGAAAUAGAGGAUUUUUUUAUCCCAGACAUAACCUCGGGCUGUCCUGGUCCCUGAUAACCCGCAGGGAGGUUGAGUUAAAUCCAACGAAU